GCUCAGGGUGAAGCAAGCUCACAGCACAGCUCUGGUGAUUGAACUUCAUUGCUGAUGCAUUUGAUUCACAACCAUACAAGAGAACAUGGAGACCGGACUUUAUCUCAUUUGCAAAAGAGUAAAUGAGGAACAACAUGGGGAAAAUGACUAGUGAUGACACUGAAGGAAAACUUUAGCAGCUGCAAUUCUUACAAGGGGUACAGUGGUCCCAGCAGAGCCAGUGGAUGGAGUGGCAUGCCCAAAGUGGGAUAUCUCUGCAGCCAGGCCAGUCCGACACAUGAGCCAUGAUUCCCACGGUGUGGCAGCGCUGGACUGCUGAUACAGCAUCGGGACCUCAGACAUAAAUAUGGUUCCUGCCCUGCUGCUUCCAACCAUGUGAGCUGUGGCCCAGGGGAAAACACACAUCCAGGGCAGACAGUGUCACUGCUGAGUCCUCGGAGGUCUGAGCAGCUUCCUGCUCCCACUCCUCCUCUCCCAGGGCUGGCAGCGUCAGGGCUCUGAGGACAGCGAAGGAUGCUCAGGUACAGCAGGAGUGGGGUCGUUCAGCUCAGCUCAUUAGUGCUACUAUUUCUGUCUCUAGCCUUUUCUCUGUUCGUAUCCAU